CAUCAAAGGUGAUGAUCCAAUCGGGGUUUCAGGUGUGAAACAGGUGCAAUACGACAGGUGUGUCAAGGAAAGUGUCAACUCAUCGCUUAGAAUCACGUCAUACGGAGUACAAUUACCGUUUUAGUAGACACGCAAUACCUGUGUAAUUACUUCGAACGCCGAAUCGGAGUUGUAUGGCUUGCUGUAUAUCACAACCAGUUGAGGAAAAUAUUUCAAACUUGGCGUUGUUGCUGCGGCGAAAUGCUGUUGAUUUCAACCCUGGUGGCCCCGGGAUUGGGUUUCGGAAUCCUACACGAACACGAUACAUUCUCCCCCAGUUCCCAGCCAGAUCAAUCACAGGGAGGUAACCCAAGCGUCAGCCCACCAGGUGGCUCCACCAUUUAUAGCCUCGCUGUCGACUUGACGGAAGAACGCGUAGUCUAACGUUGAAGUGUUAACAAAUUUACCCACAAAGGAGGGAUUUGUCCGUAAUUGAUGUUAUGUCACGGUGUUAUGUCCAGAUUGAUGUAGCCGUGUGUUGUAUGAGAGACACUGCAUGUUCACAGAUUGUAAUUACAAUGUCUGGUUUCAAGUCGUCUCAAGAGGCCUGUCUGUAGAUGCUGUGUCACUUCCAGCCGCUAAUGGCUGCAACUAUACGCUAACGUCACAUCACGGUGUCGAGUUAAGGAGAUGCGAGCGACAUGCCAGGUUGCACCCGUGCAACUCAUUCAAAACCCAUUUUAGUCUGCCAGCUUUAACGUUAUUAUGUUAAUAAAUCCAGUAGUUGA